rnacentral:tRNA from 1 species
GGAUUAAUAGCCAAGUGGUUUAAGGCGCCGUACUUGAAAUACGGUUAUGCGCAAGCAUACAGAGGUUCGAAUCCUUUUUAAUCCGUCA